UACGAAUACAGGCAUGUGCAUUUUGCCCCUUGAUUGCUAUUUACCUUGUGUAGCCUAUGUCUGAAUUAGGCCAGUUGCAUGCUAAUGAAGGAGUGAUUGUUGGUAACUUCCAGCCUGCUGCUGUGAUUUGCCUGUGCUGAACCCUAGAAACCAUCAACCCUUGAACAAAUGGUCUCUGAGAGACUCCAAGGAGAGUUUUUCUCCCAUCCCCCAGUUUUUCAAGACAGGGUUUCUCUAUGUAGCCCUGGCUGGCUAUCCUGGAACUUGCCCGGUAGAGGCUGGCCUCAAACUCAGAGAUCCACCUGCCUCUGCCUCCCAAGUGCUGGGGUUAAAGGCAUACACCACCACCAACUGGCCCAAGGAGAUUCUUAAAAUAUUGUCUCCCUGCAGGGACACUUUAGGACCAGACACCCAUGUGGCAGAUGUCAAGAGGCUGGAGUCCAGGACAGGCACAUUCUACGGCCUCUAGAAGGAAAAGAAAAGCAAGGGGACUCUCUUGUACAUACUGAGUAACCUGGCAGCAGAGGGCAGGGCCUCAGGUCCUGGAUUGCUUCGUGGCCACUCUGGCUGGUGGGGUGAGGAAGAAGAUGUUGCCAAGGAAGGAGAGAGAAGGGGGUAAGUGAGGGAGGCAUGGCAGGAAGAGGGAACUGGAGUGUGUCCCUGGAGGGUCUUCUCGGGGGAAGAUGCCCUGUCUUUCUAUUUCUACACCUCCUUCCACGCUCUGCUGCUCAGCCAGUCCAUCCUUGUGUGAAUGAAGCUUUAGGCAGGACCAGAGCUACCCAAGGGCAAAGACACAGACUCCCAACCCCAGUGCCUAACUCACUCCUGCUUCCGUGUCUUCCUACAGUUCCGUUCUGGGUCUCCUCUGUGUCCCAGGACUCUCAUCCAGAGACUUGCAGGCAUUUACAGUCCUUCAGGGGCAUUAGGAGGCUGCAUGAGCUGACCCAGCCUGACCCAGUGGGACCCAGCUCUGCUGAUCCUCAUACACGAAGGGGACAUUCAUCACUGGUGCCAUUGUCCCAGUGACUGCAAGGUAAUGCUGUCUGUUACUCAAGGCAAAUAUGGCAGGGUGACAGACAGGGCCUAUCCCCAGGAGUGAGUCUUGUGGAAGGAGAUAGCAUUUGAUACAUGCUAAGGGUGGCAUCUGAACUACUCUAAGGAGUGUAUUGUGCAUGUGCACACAUAUGCAAACAUGCGUUUUCUCCAUUUUAGUCUUCUUCACUCCCCUCUUCCAUUUCUUUCAGCAUGCUUCACUUUGUGUGUAGUUUCUGCUGUGUGAUGCUGUAUCAGUCACUUGACCCCUCUGGGCGCUAGUUUCAUCACCUACCCUAAAGGCCUUUCUAAUCUCACCUGUCGAUUGAAUGUGUGACAUAUCACAGGCUUCCUCAAGUUCCAGUAACAUGGUUCUGACUUUGUCCCAGAGACUGUCACUGGCAGCAGGCCAAACCCACCAUGCAACUAAGCCAAGGACCACUCGGGACCUUCUGAGGUCAGAAUAUUUGGUGGCUGGGGACCCCCUGCCAUGCAGGGUCCAAAUGACACCUCCUCUAAGGAGUCAGUCAUGUGAAGUUUCAUGGAUGAAGGGAGGUUGGAAGGCCCCUGGGGUGAGGGGGGAAAUUAAAGCUUAAUCCCAACACUAAGAAGGCAGAGGAUCUCUUAGAGUUUAAGGCCAGCCUGGUCUACAAAGUGAGUUUCAGGGCAGUCAGGACUGCAUGGAGAUCCCUGUCUCAAAAAAAAAAAAAAAAAAAAAAUUAAAGCUGCUCCCUUGGGUAGGGCUAGCAUAGUGGGAUCUGUGCCUUUGACCCUUUAGUUUGGGCAUGGUAGAAACUGUGGGUCUUCUCAUCCCGGGAAACCAUCACCCCCAAACCAAGGGGGCAAAGGCAGAUGUGAGGUAUUGCUCUCCCAGGAGAGAAGGGAAACGGAGUCACUACUGCUUACUGAGCCCUUACCUCGCCAUGUUGUGGGUCAGGGGUCUCCUUUAUUCUGUGGGCAUGCAUCAUGUUUUUAUUUUUUCAGUUUAUUUAGUUUUUGAGUCAGGGUCUCAUGCAGUCCAGAACUCACCACGUAGCUCAGGCUGCCCUUGAAGCGCAGUCCCUCCUCCCUUCAGCCUCCAGAGUGCUGAUUAUAGUCAGCAGCCACUAUGUGUGCUGCAUCAAUCCCACCUUUAGCUUAAUUAACUUAUUACUUUCCAGCGCUGGAGAUAGGAUCCAGGGUUUUGCAGGUGUUGUGAUGCUGAGCCAGGCUACCAGCCCCUCACUGGGUAAGUAGCAGCUCUGUCAGCGAGGUCGUUCCGGCCCUGCCUCUGCUCCACUCUGAAGAUCUUCCAUUUAUCCACCGCUGUAGAGGCAUGCGGCUCAGGCCUUAGAUGGAAGCUGAGGCUGGGACACGUGCGGAUUGAGGACCUGGGGCGCUGUGACUUGGGCUGAGCUGGCUGUGAGGUCCAUUCAGAUCUUUGUUAGCGGAGCGCCACCUAGUGCUGCUUGUGGGAACUGGUCUGACUUGAAGUUUCUUGGCCGCGAGGUAGAGGAGCCCAGAGAGAGCUGGUAGGCGGGUAUCCCUCCCCUGGCUGUGGAUCCUGACACCUAGAGGCCAAAGUAAGGAGGAAGAGCGGGGCUGGCAGUGCAGGUGUUGACUUUGGCACUAGUCCGACCUUAGUCUUAACCCUGCCUUUGGUCCGACCUUGACUUUACUGUCCCUGUGGUCUGCUCUGUUCUCAACUUCCUACUGCUGAAGUCUCCUUUAAGACAAACCGUGGUACAGCUAGGCAGGUGGUGCAUAUUUGUAAUCCCAACACCCAGGAGGCAGAGGCAGGAGAAUCAGAAGUUCACAGUCAUACUUUGCUAUAUAAUGAGUUCACCGAUAGCCUGGGCUAUGUCAGACUUUAGUACACAUGGGGUGUGGAGGGGGUGAGGUGGGGGAAGAAAAAGAAAAAAGAGCAUUGAUGCAGGGGAGUGUGUGUGUGCGUGAAUCUGGGUAUUAGUGUGUGCAUGAAUGACUGGGUGUUAGCAUGUAUAUCUCUAUCUGUUGUGUGUGAAUGUAUUUCCCUGUGUGUAUGCGAGCACACGUCUGCGUGGGGUGACUCUGUGUGAAUGAAUGAUGCCUUUCGAGUAUUUAUGCAUGUAUCUGUGUUCAUAAGAUGUAAGAGAAAGAGUGUCUGUGUGUGUGAGUGUCUGUGUGAGUGUGUGUGAGUGUGUGUGAGUGUGUGUGAGUGUCUGUGAGUGUCUCUGUGUGUGAGUGUGUGUGUGAGUGUGUGAGUGUGUGAGUGUGUGUGUGUGUGAGUGUGUGUGAGUGUGUGUGUGUGUGUGUGAGUGUGUGUGUGUGUGUGUGAGUGUGUGUGAGUGUGUGUGUGUGUGUGAGUGUGUGUGUGUGUGAGUGUGUGUGUGGCUAUGGGUGUGUGGCUAUCUCUGUGUGUACUUUUGGAUCUUUGUUUACUAUGUGCCUGUGAGUGUAAAUGCAUGUUACACACAGGUGUGCCUCUGUGUGUGACUGCAUCCCCCCCGUGCCUGCAGAUUUUGAGGACAUCUACCUCUCAUGCCUGGCGGCCCUUUUUGGGCUCACAGAUGCCUGGCUGGAUCCAAGGAAGGGCUGCAAACUUCUUCUAGUUCCCCCUCUUAAUGGGAGGUCUUGGCGGGCUCCCCUGCUUUGUGACGACAGUCUGGAAGUAGGUGUGAGGUCCUGGGGUGGAAGGAUGAAGACAAUGCUGUGCAGCCUCCAUUCAGCAUGGACUUUAAUUUCCUAAAAGAUUUAUUAUAUAAAUUUAACUUCUUAAUAUUUAAUUUAAUGUGUAUGAGUGUUUUGCCUGAAUGUAUGUCUGGGCACCACUGUGGAUUUUGUUCAUGUGUUUGUGUGGUGAGUGUGUAUGGAGGUGCACACAUGUGUGCUUGCGUGGCGGCCAGAGGUUGACUUCGGAUAUUAUUAUUCAUAAUGCCGUCUAUCUUAUUCUUGAGACCUAUAACCCAUGCAUCUGUCUGGGCUGGCCAGCCAGAGUGUGUUAGGGAUCCACCUGCCUCCUGGGGCUGGGAUUAGAAGUGUAUGUCACAACACCUGGCUUUUUAUGUGGGUUCUGGGGGCAAAUUCUGGUCUCCAUGCUUGUGUGGCCAGCACUUUGCCAACUGAGCCUUCUCCCAAGCCUCAGCAAUGAGUAACUUAUGGAUUUCUCCAGUGUCAGUCUGCAGAGGUAACCACCGAGCCAUCUGCCCCGUGCUCUCUUCUAGAGUGCAGUUGUGAAGCAUGUCUGUGUAUGUCUGUGGGCUUGUACACAUGCACGUGUGUGGCUGUGUGCAUGCUUUGCGUAUGCACUGCAUGGCAGUACAUGUGCUUGUAUGUGUAUGCUCUGGGGGUGUGCACUGAUGUGUGUGGCAUGCUUUGAGUGUACAUGCAUGCAGGUGUGCAUGUGUGAAAGCAUACAGAUUUCUUGUGUGUGAAUGCUUUGGGUAUGUACACUUUGGAAGUUUGCACUCAUGUGUGCAUCAUGAGGGCACAUGUGCCUUUGUUUGUGUGCUUUGGAUGUAUGCAAACAUGAGAAUGUAUGCUUGUGUGUGUACACUUGUAGUGUGUGCAUGAGUGUGUCUGUAUUUGAGUGUCUGCCUACUCUGAGCAUGUGCAUUUGAAAUUGUGCACAAGCAUGAGUGGUAUGGGUAUGUGCAUGUGUGCAUGUGUGGAUGUGUGCAUGUGUGCACUGUGCAAGUGUGCAUGUGUGCACACUUUGAUUGUCUGCUUGGGUGUAUGCAUGCUCUGAGUGUGUUCAUGCAUGAGUAUGUUUUCGAGCUUGCAUUUGUUUGGGUGUAUGCACUAUGUGCUUGUUUGUGCAAGCCUUGUGUUCAUGCAGGUGUGUCUGUGCAAUCCUGUGUGUGCAUGCAGGUGUGUCUGUGCAAGCCUUGUAUGCAUGCAGGUGUGUCUGUGCAAGCCUGUGUGUGCAUGAAGGUGUGUCUGUGCAAGCCUGUGUGUGCAUGCAGGUGUGUCUGUGCAAGCUUGUGUGUGCAUGCAGGUGUGUCUGUGCAAGCCUGUGUGUGCAUGCAGGUGUGUCUGUGCAAGCCUGUGUGUGCAUGCAGGUGUGUCUGUGCAAGCUUGUGUGUGCAUGCAGGUGUGUCUGUGCAAGCCUGUGUGUGCAUGCAGGUGUGUCUGUGCAAGCUUGUGUGUGCAUGCAGGUGUGUCUGUGCAAGCCUGUGUGUGCAUGCAGGUGUGUCU
ensembl:lncRNA